GAAAAUUGGCAACAGGGAUUUUUGUCAUUUUCUUUAGAAUUUAAAAGAUAAAAAGACUGAUAUUUGUAUUUAUGCAAGUGUCAGUGAUUACCAAGGGACAGUUUGGAGAACAAAGAAGAAGAAAGCAAGGAGGGAGAGGAAAACAUGAAACCAAGGCAGAAGGAUUUGGGAGGCAUGAGGGCAGCCUGAAAGAGCACGUCAAAGCCAACAGAAGAGAGAAUCAGGUAUUCCUGGGAUUUUUCAAUUCUGUACCAUUGGUCAUAGGCCAAAGGUAGAACUAAAAGUAAUCAAGCCUCUUGUUUUCAUUCUGGGGCUUCAUUCUCUGGAUUGAACAGCUACAGGAAGCAAGGAAGUCUCAUCUGUCCAUUCAACAGUUGCCACUAUCCUGGACUGGCCAACCACUGUUUUUUUGGGACAAUUGCAAUGACCUCUAAAUACACCUCCUGGCAUCUCUUGUUCUCCUCAAAUUUAUUUUUAUUUUCUUUAUUAUAGCCAGAACAGUAUUUUUUAGACCCAAAUGUGUCACUAGUUGCUUAAAACACCUCAAGGGUUUCCCACUGCCCAAAGAUAAAAGGUUAACUUCUUGGGACAACUUGAGAGGUCAUUUUUUUUUUUAAAUUCCAUUUAUUUAUCCGUGAGAGAUACUGCAAGA